rnacentral:rRNA from 1 species
UACGUAGGGAGCCAGCGUUGUCCGGAUUUACUGGGCGUAAAGAGCGCGUAGGCGGUUUUGUAAGCGGAGGGUGAAAUACCGGGGCUCAACUCCGGUGCUGCUUUCCGAACUGCAAGACUAGAGUACGGGAGAGGACAGUGGAAUUCCUGGUGUAGCGGUGGAAUGCGUAAAUAUCAGGAGGAACACCCGUGGCGAAGGCUGCUGUCUGGAACGUUACUGACGCUGAGGCGCGAAAGCUAGGGGAGCGAACGGG